UACGUAGGGCGCAAGCGUUGUCCGGAAUUAUUGGGCGUAAAGAGCUCGUAGGCGGUUUGUCACGUCGGAUGUGAAAGCCCGGGGCUUAACUCCGGGUCUGCAUUCGAUACGGGCAGACUAGAGUGUGGUAGGGGAGAUCGGAAUUCCUGGUGUAGCGGUGAAAUGCGCAGAUAUCAGGAGGAACACCGAUGGCGAAGGCAGUUCUCUGGGCCGUAACUGACGCUGAGGAGCGAAGGCGUGGGGAGCGAACAGG
rnacentral:rRNA from 1 species